AUCGUGCUUAGUUAGGAGGCAGACAACAAGGUAAUUAUUACUUAGAAGCAUACUUGAGAGGAUUUUUCAAACAUUUUCGUGAAUCUUCCUCCAAGCAGCUUCGAACAUUU